UGGGGAAUUUUGGACAAUGGGCGAAAGCCUGAUCCAGCAAUGCCGCGUGUGUGAAGAAGGCCUUCGGGUUGUAAAGCACUUUUGUCCGGAAAGAAAUCCUUGGCUCUAAUACAGUCGGGGGAUGACGGUACCGGAAGAAUAAGCACCGGCUAACUACGUGCCAGCAGCCGCGGUAAUACGUAGGGUGCAAGCGUUAAUCGGAAUUACUGGGCGUAAAGCGUGCGCAGGCGGUUUGCUAAGACCGAUGUGAAAUCCCCGGGCUCAACUGGGAACUGCAUUGGUGACUGGCAGGCUAGAAGUAUGGCAGAGGGGGGUAGAAUUCCACGUGGUAGCAGUGAAAUGCGUAGAGAUGUGGAGAAUACCGAUGGCGAAGGCAGCCCCCUGGGCCAAUACUGACGCUCAUGCACGAAAGCGUGGGGAGC
rnacentral:rRNA from 1 species